UGUUGGUGGUGUGGACAAUUCUGAAAAAGACCCUUGAAGCAUUCCCAAGCAUGAUAGAGGUUUUCAUAAGUCCUCUAUUUGAAGCUUAUUAUCUCACUGCGAAGUCU
rnacentral:snoRNA from 1 species